GUUGGAGAAGAACGUGCGUGAGAGUAACUGUUCACGCAGGGACGGUAUCCAACCAGAAAGUCACGGCUAACUACGUGCCAGCAGCCGCGGUAAUACGUAGGUGGCAAGCGUUAUCCGGAUUUAUUGGGCGUAAAGCGAGCGCAGGCGGUUGCUUAGGUCUGAUGUGAAAGCCUUCGGCUUAACCGAAGAAGUGCAUCGGAAACCGGGCGACUUGAGUGCAGAAGAGGACAGUGGAACUCCAUGUGUAGCGGUGGAAUGCGUAGAUAUAUGGAAGAACACCAGUGGCGAAGGCGGCUGUCUGGUCUGCAACUGACGCUGAGGCUCGAAAGCAUGGGUAGCGAACAGGAUUAGAUACCCUGGUAGUCCAUGCCGUAAAC
rnacentral:rRNA from 1 species